GGAGGACGGCUCAUCGGGGGUUUCGGUGACUCCACUGACUAAUUUCCACGUGAUGUGAUUAUAUGAAGGUGAUAAUAACUGUGAUUGCUGUUGUAUUGUCAUUUGUGUGACACUGCAUGAUCAUAAAAUUAUUCGAUGACUAAUAAAAUAUUUCAGCAUUUGUGUGAUUGUGUGGGGUGAGAGGGUUAUCUAACCCUACUCAUUGAGUUUGGCGCUCACUCCUGCCUACCUUUUUUUUUUUCCAGGUAAUAGAAAGGAAGGAAACCCCUAUGGAGUGGAAACACUUAUUAUAAAAGACUGUUAAUGAUAGAAAUAACGAUGUGAAUGUAAAGGUAGAGUUCCGCAAUUGUUUUCUAGAUGGGUUGUAA
rnacentral:lncRNA from 1 species